GACAUCAGUAAAUGGUAUCCCCUAUCAAUUGGGCAAUAGCCUGUUGGGAAAUCUGCUCACCAAUGAGUGAGAAACUCAAAACUCAGAAUGAUCAAUUUCAAAAUGGCUUCUUUGAACAGUAAUUGGAGGUUUUCCUGGAUAUUUUGCCUGGAUUAAACACUAGAAUAGAGGUACAUAUAUAUAGUACCUACAGUACAGUAUAUACAGUAGGUUUUUACUGCUCUUCCUGUGUGAAAUUAGACAUUAUAUUGGAAUUGGAUGUUUUCUGUAUGGGAUACCAGUAGGUGUGAAUGUUAGCACUUGCAGGAGUCAAGGUGUCAACUCAUCCUUAAGAGUCAGUAUGCUGAACAUGUGUCAUGACAGAUGUCCAUAAUGGCUUUCCUCCUUAUCACUAUAUGCACAUAAUUUUCAUUGUUUGCUGUCUACAGGUAGCUAGACCCUAAUAUCUUCAGACCUUCCCCCUGUAUAUUUGAAUACAGGAAUUUAUUCUACUAUGUUCUAUGAAAUACCGUGGAUAAUAAAAGACCAUGGUGGGAAUUCAAAGAAACCAGUUUUGGCAAGUGUGAAUUUUACACACUUGUGGCUCUCUAUCACUAUUCUUGUGGCUACGGAUUACCAAUGUUUUAUCUGUUCUCAGACCCUAACAUGUCUCAAUCGCCUAUUUGUAUACAUUUUACUGCGACUAAUUUACUGUCUGUUCUAAUACACAGUUAGCUGUUUUGGCAAGGUGUUAACUUUACUUCUUGAGGUGUAAAUGAAGAGGGUUUAUUCCUCAUGUCCAUAAAUCAAGAUGUCUUUGCUGUCUACCAUAAUUCCUAUAGCUAUGCCUAUGUAGAUAAUAAAAUCCUGUCAGGUUCUAAUAUCUUUCAGUCAUUUAUCUCUCUAUACUGGCAUUAUUUAACUGUUCUUUCUCUGUGUAAUACACGGUUACGGUACCUAAUUUGGUAAGGUGUGAAUUUCAUACACGCAGUUGACAAGAGUAAAAUUCGCAUGAAGAAUAUUUGCUUCCAUGGUCGAUAAUGUCUUUGGUCUCGCUCACUGUACAUAUGACUAUCAGUGUUCAAUUAUCAUUCUUGAUCUUGAUGAAGAAGAAAUUCCAUCGUUUAAUUUCAUCUUGUAUCUUGACGAUCCUUAUAUUCUGGUGCCACACGAUCACAGAUUAAUCAAUAAAACCAAGGCAUACAGCAUCAAAACGACUCCCUCUUGUAAUAAUAUGUACACCAGACGUUAAAAUAAACGUUUCUCAAGCUUCCAAAAGUUUAAAAAUUUGGAACGCUUCACGAAUUUGCGUGUCAUCCUUGCGCAGGGGCCAUGCUAAUCUUCUCUGUAUCGUUCCAAUUUUAGUAUAUGUGCUGCCGAAGCAAGCACGUCUUACACUGUGAUAACCUUGUAUUUAACUGCCAAACACUCUCGUAACUCCGGACAUGUGGGAUGAAGGUUUUUUAUGCAAAUGAGGAUUGUCCAAUGCAUUUUUAUAUAAAAAAUUACCGGUAAAUCUCGUGUCUGAAAUCGUGAUAAAUCUCGUCAAUUUACUUUCAGGACGGUAAUCCAGGUUACUUUUAGUUAAUUUAAAGACUAGAAAUGAUAUGUUUUAUCAGAAAGAAGCAAACGUUUUCACUCUUCUUUGACAAGGUUUCUGCGCUUGCCCAGUGUUAGUUUC
rnacentral:lncRNA from 1 species